rnacentral:rRNA from 1 species
ACUCCUACGGGAGGCAGCAGUGGGGAAUUUUGGACAAUGGGCGCAAGCCUGAUCCAGCCAUGCCGCGUGCGGGAAGAAGGCCUUCGGGUUGUAAACCGCUUUUGUCAGGGAAGAAACGGUCUGAACUAAUACUUUGGACUAAUGACGGUACCUGAAGAAUAAGCACCGGCUAACUACGUGCCAGCAGCCGCGGUAAUACGUAGGGUGCAAGCGUUAAUCGGAAUUACUGGGCGUAAAGCGUGCGCAGGCGGCUUUGCAAGACAGAUGUGAAAUCCCCGGGCUCAACCUGGGAACUGCAUUUGUGACUGCAUGGCUAGAGUACGGUAGAGGGGGAUGGAAUUCCGCGUGUAGCAGUGAAAUGCGUAGAUAUGCGGAGGAACACCGAUGGCGAAGGCAAUCCCCUGGACCUGUACUGACGCUCAUGCACGAAAGCGUGGGGAGCAAACAGGAUUAGAUACCCUGGUAGUCCACGCCCUAAACGAUGUCAACUGGUUGUUGGACGGCUUGCUGUUCAGUAACGAAGCUAACGCGUGAAGUUGACCGCCUGGGGAGUACGGCCGCAAGGUUGAAACUCAAAUGAAUUGACGG